UACGAAGGGGGCUAGCGUUGCUCGGAAUCACUGGGCGUAAAGCGCACGUAGGCGGAUUGUUAAGUCAGGGGUGAAAUCCUGGAGCUCAACUCCAGAACUGCCUUUGAUACUGGCGAUCUCGAGUCCGGGAGAGGUGAGUGGAACUGCGAGUGUAGAGGUGAAAUUCGUAGAUAUUCGCAAGAACACCAGUGGCGAAGGCGGCUUCUUGGGCCUGGACUGACGCUGAGGCGCGAAAGCUGGGGGAGCGAACGGG
rnacentral:rRNA from 1 species